AGCUCUCCAGCGCCGAUGGUAGUUGGAUGUACGUCCCGUGAGAGUAGGACGUCGCCGGGC
rnacentral:rRNA from 1 species